CCUACGGGGGGCUGCAGUGGGGAAUAUUGCGCAAUGGGCGAAAGCCUGACGCAGCGACGCCGCGUGAGGGAUGAAGGUCUUCGGAUCGUAAACCUCUGUCAGCAGGGAAGAACGGUCACUGUGCUAAUCAGCAGUGAAUUGACGGUACCUGCAAAGGAAGCACCGGCUAACUCCGUGCCAGCAGCCGCGGUAAUACGGAGGGUGCGAGCGGUAAUCGGAAUUACUGGGCGUAAAGCGCUCGUAGGCGGUAUGUCAAGUCAAGGGUGAAAUCCCCGCGCUCAACGUGGGAACUGCCUUUGAAACUGGCAAACUGGAGUGUGUGAGAGGAUAGUGGAAUUGCAGGUGUAGGAGUGAAAGCCGUAGAUAUCUGGAGGAACAUCAGUGGCGAAGGCGACUAUCUGGCACAUAACUGACGCUGAGGAGCGAAAGCGUGGGUAGCAAACAGGAUUAGAUACCCCAGUAGUC
rnacentral:rRNA from 1 species